UACGUAGGGUGCGAGCGUUACUCGGAAUUACUGGGCGUAAAGCGUGCGCAGGCGGUUUCGUAAGACAGAGGUGAAAUCCCCGGGCUCAACCUGGGAACUGCCUUUGUGACCGCGAAGCUAGAGUACGGCAGAGGGGGGUGGAAUUCCACGUGUAGCAGUGAAAUGCGUAGAGAUGUGGAGGAACACCGAUGGCGAAGGCAGCCCCCUGGGCCGAUACUGACGCUCAUGCACGAAAGCGUGGGUAGCAAACAGG
rnacentral:rRNA from 1 species